GGUCGCUUAGCUCAGUUGGUUAGAGCGUGGUGCUAAUAGCCUGGCAGUCCACUUACAGUGGACUAAUAGUUAACGCCAAGGUCGCGAGUUCGACCCUCGUAGUGACCA
rfam:Macrophomina phaseolina MS6 contig00163, whole genome shotgun sequence.